rnacentral:lncRNA from 1 species
GGGCGCUGUCUUCCUGUGGAUAGCGUUCCAGUGUACUAGCACUAUAAAGUCCUGCAACUACGGUAGGCUAGCACAAAGCAGUCGAAAUUUACAUACACCCUUUGGUUUUUUAUUUAUUUUAUUUUGUUUUAUUUUACUUCUCUUCUUUUUCAGUACAUACAAAACAUCUCACUAAUUAUUUUUGCAAAACUCACACACACAAAUUUCGGC